rnacentral:SRP_RNA from 1 species
CAUUGGUAGCCUCGCAACAUUGAAUUAUGAACCCCGCCAGGACCGGAAGGUAGCAACGGUAUUAAUUCUAAUGUGUGCCGAGGAUGUGCUUUUGGAG